rnacentral:rRNA from 1 species
CAGUAGCCACGGGAAUACAGAGGGUGCGAGCGUUAAUCGGAUUUACUGGGCGUAAAGCGUGCGUAGGCGGCUUCUUAAGUCGGAUGUGAAAUCCCCGGGCUCAACCUGGGAACUGCAUCCAAAACUGGCAAGCUAGAGUAUGGUAGAGGGUGGUGGAAUUUCCUGUGUAGCGGUGAAAUGCGUAGAUAUAGGAAGGAACACCAGUGGCGAAGGCGACCACCUGGACUGAUACUGACACUGAGGUGCGAAAGCGUGGGGAGCAAACAGGAUUAGAUACCCCUGUAGUCCCUGUCUCUUAUAC